UUACUGAGCACUUUCCAGUAUUGAUGAAGUAGCAUCUCAAAACCACUGAUUAUUAUUAUUUUUUUUUACCUUGAGCACAAAACUUUAAAUGAAACAGUUUUUGAAUAAAUCAUUCAUAUAAGAUAUGAUUGUUAGGGCCUAGCAUUUUGGGGUACUUCUUGCACUAUGCCAGUAGGAAGAUUCUCACAGUCUUAACCUGGAUUCCUAUUCGUUUAGUCAACUUUUAAAGCAGAACAUUUUGUCAGCUUAAGAUAGAAUGAAGUAUUUGAAAUACAUUCCAUUCCGUGUUUUUUUCUAUAGAAUGAAUUAUUUGGGGAAAGGUCUUGAGUUCUAUUCAUUCAUCUUUCCGUCACUUAUUAAGCAGAAGACACGACAGUGGAUAAGUUCAGGAGAUUGUUAGGAGGAUUGGGUGAAUGAUUUUGGGUUUGUGUUAUCGCUCCUUUCUCUGGGGUAAGAAACAAACCCUUGGAAACAGUUAUAGAUAAUGACCUGGAUGGAGGAGGAAGAUGAGACUAUUUCUGAUAUUUUGGUUUUGGGGAUGCCUAUGGAAUAAUUAAAAAUAGAUUCCCCAGAAUAUCUGGACUAUUUCAAUCCUUAUCUGAUGUUUAGGAGGGAGAUGUGGUCUGGUAAUACUGAUUGGGAGGGGUUCAGCCUAUGAAUAGUAUUAUUGAAAGUCUGAAGAGGAGAAUGGCAAGAAAGGAGGAGUCAGGGGAGAAGAAAAGAAGGGGGACAAUGCAGGCAGGUACAACUCUGGCAUUUAAAGGAUGGAGAAAGGAAACGGAGACUCAGGAAGGGAAGGUGCCUGACAAGCAACAGCUGGAGAGAGGUGGGGGAAAACGGGAGAGGGCGUGGGCUCCUGGACCCACACUCCACUGGUUUCCUUCCACUUGCCUAACUACUUCUCUGUCCCGUAUUUUCAAUGGUUUAAGCAGACAUUUGUCAAAGAAAAUGAGGACAGACUUCAGUGGAAUUCUUUUUUAUUUUUUUUAAAAAAAUGAAUAAUUUUUUAUUAUGGAAACCUUCAAGCAUAUGAGGAAGAAGAAGAUAGGAUAACAUGAUAAAUGCCCAUGAACCCAUGAUCCAGCCACAAUAAUCACCAUCAUGUUUGCAUUCUUGUGAGUCCUCUUAUUUUUUAAUGUUAGGGCCUAUUACAGGGCCUGGUUCAUUGGAAGCAGUUAGUAAAUAUUUGUAGAGUAAAUAAAUGAAUAAAUACAAAGGAAUCAACAGCGUGUGUUACACUAUUUAGGGAUGCAAAGGAAAAGCACAAGGCUCAGGGCCACUUCAGAGAGUCUGUAGUCUGGUUGACUGGCGCGUUUGUGAAGUCACAAGACGCAGGUCAGACAAGCAAGGGGUGUAGGUUCUAUUGCUGCUGUCACAGAUCCAGGGACAUUUGUCCAUACACUCCUCGUUCCAACGACAAGCCUGGGGCACUUGGAAGCAGCACCAUCUGAGCUGCAUUUGAAUUCUCACUCCGCCUUUACCCUGCUGUGAGGUUUUGGAUUAAAUUUUGAAAGUGAAAUGAUGUCUGUGAAGAAAUAUAGUUAAAGAAUUGAAGCCUUCCCCAAAGAAAAGCUGUACCAAGGAUGGCUAAUGGGACGGUUGGUUUCGUGUGUCAAUUUGAGGCUGGCCUACGGUGUCAGAGAAGACCUGGCUAGAGGAAGACAUUUGUUGCUCCUGAAAUUGAAACAAACCUGCAUUACGGCCAAGCACCUACCUCAGGGCCUGAGAUAAGGCCAUUAACAUAAACAUCGGAUAUUACUUGAUUUCUGAGGAUUUUCAAAAUUGAAUUUCAAAACCAGAAUGCAUAAUAAAGCUGAGCAGUGUCCCACUCAUUAAAAGCAAAACACAGUGUAUUUGCAUUUGGGCUUGUUUGCUUGCUUAUUUACUAACUUGUUGUUUUUUCUUUUUUGGGGGGGUGUGUUUGGGGGCUUUUAGCAGCCUAAGAAAAAUUGACAAGGAACGGUUCAGUCAAUCCUGGUUAGUGUUAUGUCCAAGGAUAAAACAUUUCUACCUAUUUGUUUAUAAUCACUUAGGGAUAUUUCACGAGACGUUUCCAGAAGUGUAAUUGCCCAGUGAAAGUGUAUGGACUUUCUAAAUGAACUUCUUUGGUACUCAAACAGUGUGUUGGUUUUUUUUUGUUUUUUUGUUUUUUUG